rnacentral:rRNA from 1 species
GAUGAACGCUAGCGAUAGGCUUAACACAUGCAAGUCGAGGGGCAGCACAAGGUAGCUUGCUAUCUGGGUGGCGACCGGCGCACGGGUGCGUAACGCGUAUGCAACUUGCCCUAUACAGGAGGAUAACCCGUCGAAAGACGGACUAAUACUGCGUAUGCUCACAACUUGGCAUCAAGUGGUGAGGAAAGAAAUUCGGUAUAGGAUAGGCAUGCGUCCCAUUAGCUUGUUGGUGAGGUAACGGCUCACCAAGGCAACGAUGGGUAGGGGAACUGAGAGGUUUAUCCCCCACACUGGUGCUGAGACACGGACCAGACUCCUACGGGAGGCAGCAGUGAGGAAUAUUGGUCAAUGGGCGCGAGCCUGAACCAGCCAAGUCGCGUGAAGGAUGACUGUCUUAUGGAUUGUAAACUUCUUUUAUACGGGAAUAACAAGAGUCACGUGUGACUCCCUGCAUGUACCGGAUGAAUAAGCAUCGGCUAACUCCGUG